rnacentral:lncRNA from 13 species
CUGUGACAAAGGUUUACAGAUUUUGGUGUCCUGUCUGAUUUCGGCAGUUCCCAUAGCUCUUCUGAUUUUGGCAGCUCUUCGGAUUUAUCUGGUACAACUUUGCAGAGCCCAACUAGAAGCCAGGAGGAGCAGACAUCUUGCUGAUGGAGCUCAAUGAGGUCAGCCUCCAUGGCUGAGAGAAGAAUUCUGGUUCUGAGGAGCAGUCAAAAGAUAUGGAAAGAGAUCCUGUCUGUGCUGAUGCGAGAGCUACCAAUGCAUCUGGUAAUGAAAAUGAGAGCAUGCCCCUUUCAGGAUGUCCAGCCAGUACAGGAAAUGAGACAGGACAAAACCGUGACAACUCAUGACAAGCAUCCUCCAUAUCCAGUGCUUCAUCUCCCCUUUCUUCACUGCAAUUCCAGGCAAUGGCCUGUCAGACUGGACAAUUCUACCACUGCAAAGACUUGUAACCGUUUUCUAGUAUCAGAUUUAUUUUUCAAGACAUAAGGAUCAUUCGCUGACCCACUACCUGCAUUGAGUAUAAAUGCCUGGAUAUUAAGGAUUCCAAUUUAACGUCGAAAGGAGCUGUCUCAUUCAUUUACAUUCCCAUUGCAGUCAGCCCAGGAGGUUACAGUGAGCUGUCCACUAAGAAUCGGAAGAAAUGCAUCGCUAGGCUGAUUCCCAAUCUGAUCAACUGAUAAUGGGUGAGAGAGCAGGUAAGAGCCAAAGUCACCUUAGUGGAAAGGUUAAAAAGUUUUCUAGAGGCUGGAAACCAAGGUGAUUGAUUUGACAAGGUAUUUUAGUCUAGUUUUAUAUGAAUGGUUAUGUCAGGGUAACCAAUUAGAUUUAGGAUGAGUCUUGGGGACACCAAAGAGUAAACUGUCUGUAUCUUUAACGUUGCUAGGGAAAAGGGCCCUAUAACACAAGAAUUGACAUCUCUGAAGUUGGUUACACCUGACCACACCAAGCUUGUAUAGCUGAGUGACUAGCUAUGAAGAUAAUGUGAACUCUUCAAGCUCAAUUGGCAUCUUGCUAACCAAUCUUCCAAUUAAUUUAGAUUUUCAAAUAAAUUUUUAAGCAAGAGGAGAAGGGAAAUCUCA